rnacentral:rRNA from 1 species
AUUGAACGCUGGCGGCAUGCCUUACACAUGCAAGUCGAACGGUAACAGGUCUUCGGAUGCUGACGAGUGGCGAACGGGUGAGUAAUACAUCGGAACGUGCCUAGUAGUGGGGGAUAACUACUCGAAAGAGUGGCUAAUACCGCAUGAGAUCUACGGAUGAAAGCAGGGGAUCGCAAGACCUUGUGCUACUAGAGCGGCCGAUGGCAGAUUAGGUAGUUGGUGGGAUAAAAGCUUACCAAGCCGACGAUCUGUAGCUGGUCUGAGAGGACGAUCAGCCACACUGGGACUGGGACACGGCCCAGACUCCUGCGGGAGGCAGCAGUGGGGAAUUUUGGACAAUGGGCGCAAGCCUGAUCCAGCAAUGCCGCGUGCAGGAUGAAGGCCUUCGGGUUGUAAACUGCUUUUGUACGGAACGAAAAGCCCUGGGUUAAUACCCUGGGGUCAUGACGGUACCGUAAGAAUAAGCACCGGCUAACUACGUGCCAGCCGCCGCCGUAAGAC